GAGAGGAGCAAGCAUCUAUCUCUUCUCACUUCUAGGCAGGUGAAAGCAUAUGAGUUCUUCAUGAAAGCACUUCUUAUCUUGCUUUUUUAUUAUGCUUAUCAAUUGGACUAGACUAUUUCCUGCCUCCGUAUACCACCAUUACUAACAAUAAUUACUAAUUUGUGUCGACUGCUUACUAUGUGCCAGGCACUGUUCUGAGCACUACACAUGUUAUUUUAGUUCAUAAUUCUUUGAAUCUUUUGCUGACCCUCACGCUCCCACUUUAUAUGUAUUUCUAAUGAGUCAGGUAUAGACUUCUUUGAUAACAUCUAUAGCACUAAAGUAUGUUUAUUUGUAUGUAACUAUUGCCCUCUACUUAGUCUGAGAAUUCUUGGGAACAGGGACUAUGUCAUACUAGUCUUCAUAUCCCUAGUAUCUAACACAAUUACAGUUUCAGUCUCUGGAAUAUAAUAGACAAUAAAUAGAUAAUCUCAAUGAAUAUAUGAGAAUUUGAAAGACCACAAGUCUUGUUCAUGCUCUUACCACCCUUCAUCAAGACCAUCUAGAAUAUCCUGGUCGGGCGUGGUGGCUUUAAUAAAGAUUUUUAAAAGAAAUUUUAGAACAUAUUGUAGACUGGUUCAGUGGAAAGAACUCUUCCUCCCUUGGAAACAGUGAGUGAGGGGCUGGCCUGUGACUACUGAAGGUUUAUCCCAAGGGCUGUUGGGGCAGUUGUCCUUGGAGCUCACCCUGCCUGAGCACACUGCAGAUUUCUCAUCCCCAGGAUUCAGAUGGUAGGGAACCAAGUUCCAUCCUUAGUUGCCCUGUCCCCUUCUUCUGUCCCAGCAUCCACAAUCUGAGUAACCCCCCUCUCCAUCACUGGCUCCUUGGGGUGGGGCUGUUGAUUCCAAAGCAACAGCUCAGACUGGAGAGCUCUGUAUGGCAUUACAGGACAGGUUGAGGGGGAAACUUGAGGUCUGAGCAAUGCUUAAGAAAGGAGCCAGGAAGACCAGAGAACCAGGCCUACUAGAGAGUCAAACCCAGGGCCUUCUUUGCUGUGCAUAAGUAUCAGUAGAGGCAAGCGUUUGAAUGAGAAUUGCUGUAUUAAGGGACAUGGUUGACUACUGAGACACACAUAGAGGGCUAACAAAACAAGG
rnacentral:lncRNA from 1 species